CAUGCAAGUUCGAACGAUGACUUUUGUGCUUGCACAAGAUGAUUAGUGGCGAACGGGUGAGUAACACGUGAGUAACCUGCCCCUGACUUCGGGAUAAGCCUGGGAAACUGGGUCUAAUACCGGAUAUGCACCGUGGACCGCAUGGUCCUUGGUGGAAAGACUUGUUGGUCAGGGAUGGACUCGCGGCCUAUCAGCUUGUUGGUGAGGUAAUGGCUCACCAAGGCGACGACGGGUAGCCGGCCUGAGAGGGUGACCGGCCACACUGGGACUGAGACACGGCCCAGACUCCUACGGGAGGCAGCAGUGGGGAAUAUUGCACAAUGGGCGAAAGCCUGAUGCAGCGACGCCGCGUGAGGGAUGACGGCCUUCGGGUUGUAAACCUCUUUCAGUAGGGAAGAAGCGAAAGUGACGGUACCUGCAGAAGAAGCGCCGGCUAACUACGUGCCAGCAGCCGCGGUAAUACGUAGGGCGCAAGCGUUAUCCGGAAUUAUUGGGCGUAAAGAGCUCGUAGGCGGUUUGUCGCGUCUAUCGUGAAAGUCCGAGGCUCAACCUCGGAUCUGCGGUGGGUACGGGCAGACUAGAGUGAUGUAGGGGAGACUGGAAUUCCUGGUGUAGCGGUGAAAUGCGCAGAUAUCAGGAGGAACACCGAUGGCGAAGGCAGGUCUCUGGGCAUUAACUGACGCUGAGGAGCGAAAGCAUGGGGAGCGAACAGGAUUAGAUACCCUGGUAGUCCAUGCCGUAAACGUUGGGCACUANGUGUGGGGGACAUUCCACGUUUUCCGCGCCGUAGCUAACGCAUUAAGUGCCCCGCCUGGGGAGUACGGCCGCAAGGCUAAAACUCAAAGGAAUUGACGGGGGCCC
rnacentral:rRNA from 1 species